UACUUUCUUGAUAGAUAUGUACUCUGGACCU
rnacentral:piRNA from 1 species